GGAGCACAAAGCCAGAGAACUACCUCUGCCUUUUAGUCAUGGAGCACACGUCUACCCUGAGAGACAGGCGGAGAAUGGUUAUUAUGGGAUGCAGAUCAUUAAGGAGCAGGUAGGGGUUAGACAGUACAUGGACAGGUCAUUAAGGAGCAGGUAGGGGUUAGACAGUACAUGGACAGAUCAUUAAGGAGCAGGUAGGGGUUAGACAGUACAGGGACAGGUCAUUAAGGAGCAGAUAGGGGUUAGACAGUACAUGGACAGGUCAUUAAGGAGCAGGUAGGGGUUAGACAGUACAGAGACAGGUCAUUAAGGAGCAGGUAGGGGUUAGACAGUACAGAGACAGGUCAUUAAGGAGCAGGUAGGGGUUAGACAGUACAGAGACAGGCCAUUAAGGAGCAGGUAGGGGUUAGACAGUACAGAGACAGGCCAUUGAGGAGCAGGUAGGGGUUAGACAGUACAGAGACAGGCCAUUAAGGAGCAGGUAGGGGUUAGACAGUACAGAGACAGGUCAUUGAGGAGCAGGUAGGGGUUAGACAGUACAGAGACAGGUCAUUAAGGAGCAGGUACAGAUCAGACAGUACAGAGACAGGUCAUUAAGGAGCAGG
ensembl:lncRNA